rnacentral:rRNA from 1 species
AUUGACCGCUGGCGGCAGGCCUAACACAUGCAAGUCGAGCGAGCGGCGGACGGGUGAGUAAUGUAUGGGGACUGCCCGAUAGAGGGGGAUAACUACUGGAAACGGUAGCUAAUACCGCAUACUAUCGGAUAACCCAUAUGGGAUUAGCUAGUAGGUGCGGUAAUGGCUCACCUAGGCGACGAUCCCUAGCUGGGCUGAGCGGAUGAUCAGCCACACGGGGACGGAGACAAGGCCCAGAGUCCUAAGGAGGCAGCAGUGGGGAAUAGUGCACAAUGGGCGCAAGCUUGAUGCAGCCAUGCCGCGUGUAUGAAGAAGGCCCUAGGGUUGUAAAGUACGUUCAGUCGGGAGGCGUUACCGACAGAAGAAGCACCGGCUAACUACGUGCCAGCAGCCGCGGUAAUUC